CCUACGGGAGGCUGCAGUGGGGAAUAUUGGACAAUGGGCGCAAGCCUGAUGCAGCCAUGCCGCGUGUGUGAAGAAGGCCUUCGGGUUGUAAAGCACUUUCAGCGGGGAGGAAGGCGUUAAGGUUAAUAACCUUGUCGAUUGACGUUACCCGCAGAAGAAGCACCGGCUGACUCCGUGCCAGCAGCCGCGGUAAUACGGAGGGUGCAAGCGUUAAUCGGAAUUACUGGGCGUAAAGCGCACGCAGGCGGUCUGUCAAGUCGGAUGUGAAAUCCCCGGGCUCAACCUGGGAACUGCAUUCGAAACUGGCAGGCUAGAGUCUUGUAGAGGGGGGUAGAAUUCCAGGUGUAGCGAUGAAAUGCGUAGAGAUCUGGAGGAAUACCGGUGGCGAAGGCGGCCCCCUGGACAAAGACUGACGCUCAGGUGCGAAAGCGUGGGGAGCAAACAGGAUUAAAUACCCCUGUAGUC
rnacentral:rRNA from 1 species